AUAUUGAAGCCCCUAAGUAGCGUGGAAGUAUUGUUUGGGUCAUCCAACCAUUAGUUGUACCCAUUUGCAAACCCUAACUAUUUGGUGGAUUGAAGAAGAAAGAUCGUGGGCAGCCCGAAUCAUAGUUUGGACUUAGCUUGAGUUGGAUCAUAUUGGAGAGCGUUUGAGGUACAGACGCACAGCCUGGUGGUCCACCUGUUUAGGACACCCUUUCUGCUAUUCGGAGUGCUCCUCUCUUUCCGGAGCUUAUACUUUUGGUAUAUAUAUUUAUUAGUGCAUUUGUAUAUAUUCGUUCAUGGGUACGGCGGGGCCCUGUCCCGUCAUAUGAUUCUGUCGGUCUGUUUAGAGGUCUGUGGACAUGUUUGUGGGUUAGGGUCUUUCUGUAUGGAUGUAUGUACAUGUCGUUUGGGCGAUCCCAUACGCCGAGGCAGCCGGUCCGCAUAUGUUGUUUGGGCGAUCCUAUACGCCGAGGCGGCCGGUCCGCAUAUGUUUAUAUAUUGCUUGG